UACGAAGGGGGCUAGCGUUGCUCGGAAUUACUGGGCGUAAAGGGCUCGUAGGCGGCCAACUAAGUCAGACGUGAAAUCCCUCGGCUUAACCGGGGAACUGCGUCUGAUACUGGAUGGCUUGAGAUUGGGAGAGGGAUGCGGAAUUCCAGGUGUAGCGGUGAAAUGCGUAGAUAUCUGGAGGAACACCGGUGGCGAAGGCGGCAUCCUGGACCAACACUGACGCUGAGGAGCGAAAGCCAGGGGAGCAAACGGG
rnacentral:rRNA from 1 species